GACGAACGCUGGCGGCGUGCUUAACACAUGCAAGUCGAACGCUGAAGUCCUUUCGGGGGUGGUUGAGUGGCGAACGGGUGAGUAACACGUGGGUAAUCUGCCCUGUACUUCGGGAUAAGCCUUGGAAACGGGGUCUAAUACCGGAUAGGACCUGUCCUCGCAUGGGGGUGGGUGGAAAGUUACGGUGGUAUGGGAUGAGCCCGCGGCCUAUGAGCUUGUUGGUGGGGUAGUGGCCUACCAAGGCGACGACGGGUAGCCGGCCUGAGAGGGUGACCGGUCACACUGGGACUGAGACACGGCCCAGACUCCUACGGGAGGCAGCAGUGGGGAAUCUUGCGCAAUGGGCGAAAGCCUGACGCAGCAACGCCGCGUGGGGGAUGACGGCCUUCGGGUUGUAAACCUCUUUCGACAUCGACGAAGGGGCCCUGUUGUGGGGUUUUGACGGUAGGUGUAGAAGAAGCACCGGCUAACUACGUGCCAGCCGCCGCAGUAA
rnacentral:rRNA from 1 species